GCCGGCUUAGCUCAGUUGGUAGAGCAACUGAUUUGUAAUCAGUAGGUCGAGGGUUCAAGUCCUUUAGCCGGCACCA
rnacentral:tRNA from 1 species